GCCGGGCGUGGUGGUGCACACCUGUAAUCCCAGCUACUCGGGGGCUGAGGCAGAAGAAUCGCUUGAACCUAGGAGGCAGAGAUUGGAGUGAGUUGAGAUCGCGCCACUGCACUCUGCCUGGGCGACAAAGCGAGAUUCAGUCUCAA
rnacentral:SRP_RNA from 1 species